AAAGCAGGCCGUUCUGUCGCUGUGGCCUUGUGCCACAGAGGAAAGUCCGGGCAACAUAGGGCAUCCCGCUCAUGAAAGGUGAGGUAUCCGUGAGGGUAUGGUAGCAGAGAAGAGAAUGACUGCCCGCCUUUGCCGAGGCUUCGGUGGGUUAAACCCGCCUUCUCCAAGGCUUUGGCGGGUAAAGGUGAGAAGGUGGGGUAAGGGCCCACCAGUUCUGGUGGCAACACCAGGAGCUGUCUGCCCCGGGAGUUGCAAGACCAAAUAUAUCCUGAGAGCUUCGGCAUACGGCUGCUCGCUGUAUUUUUCCGGCUUGCCCGGAAUGCUCAGGAGGGGUAGGUUGCGAAGAUAAAUGACAGAAAACGGCCAUAGUCAUUGACUACGGCCGUUACAGAACCCGGCUUACAGGCCUGCUUUUUUU
rnacentral:RNase_P_RNA from 1 species